UCUGAAAGGAAGAUUAAUCCAGGAUGGGAUCAUGAGUUCACAUGUCCGCAUGAUUAAAGGUAUUUUCCGGUAGACGAUGGGGAUGCGUUCCAUUAGAUAGUAGGCGGGGUAACGGCCCACCUAGUCAACGAUGGAUAGGGGUUCUGAGAGGAAGGUCCCCCACAUUGGAACUGAGACACGGUCCAAACUCCUACGGGAGGCAGCAGUGAGGAAUAUUGGUCAAUGGGCGAUGGCCUGAACCAGCCAAGUAGCGUGAAGGAUGACUGCCCUAUGGGUUGUAAACUUCUUUUAUAAAGGAAUAAAGUCGGGUAUGCAUACCCGUUUGCAUGUACUUUAUGAAUAAGGAUCGGCUAACUCCGUGCCAGCAGCCGCGGUAAUACGGAGGAUCCGAGCGUUAUCCGGAUUUAUUGGGUUUAAAGGGAGCGUAGAUGGAUGUUUAAGUCAGUUGUGAAAGUUUGCGGCUCAACCGUAAAAUUGCAGUUGAUACUGGAUGUCUUGAGUGCAGUUGAGGCAGGCGGAAUUCGUGGUGUAGCGGUGAAAUGCUUAGAUAUCACGAAGAACUCCGAUUGCGAAGGCAGCCUGCUAAGCUGCAACUGACAUUGAGGCUCGAAAGUGUGGGUAUCAAACAGGAUUAGAUACCCUGGUAGUCCACACGGUAAACGAUGAAUACUCGCUGUUUGCGAUAUACGGCAAGCGGCCAAGCGAAAGCGUUAAGUAUUCCACCUGGGGAGUACGCCGGCAACGGUGAAACUCAAAGGAAUUGACGGGGGCCCGCACAAGCGGAGGAACAUGUGGUUUAAUUCGAUGAUACGCGAGGAACCUUACCCGGGCUUAAAUUGCACUCGAAUGAUCCGGAAACGGUUCAGCUAGCAAUAGCGAGUGUGAAGGUGCUGCAUGGUUGUCGUCAGCUCGUGCCGUGAGGUGUCGGCUUAAGUGCCAUAACGAGCGCAACCCUUGUUGUCAGUUACUAACAGGUGAUGCUGAGGACUCUGACAAGACUGCCAUCGUAAGAUGUGAGGAAGGUGGGGAUGACGUCAAAUCAGCACGGCCCUUACGUCCGGGGCUACACACGUGUUACAAUGGGGGGUACAGAGGGC
rnacentral:rRNA from 1 species